GUGGCUCGCAGCUGCACUGGCUUGGGGACGCGCUCCCCUCGGAAGUGUUGGGGUGAGCAGGGGGCGACGACCUCUCUCCCUGCUUCAGCGCACAGCCGCCUAUGAGGAAGGCACCAGUGUCACCCCAACCCCACAGAGAAGGCGGGGACGCUCGGGGUGUCUUAGUUGCUUGUCCCAGGUCACAGCAGGAAGUGGUAGACUUUCUUAAUGGGGGAGAAGAGGGCUGUGAGGAGCGCGGCGUGUUGCCAUCUGCUUCGUGGACCUCUGCCUGGGCCGCGUCGGAGGGUUUCUCUCCGGGAGAGGCGAGUGGCCCCGUGAGUGGGAGCAGGUCCUAUAUGAUAGACUGUGGCUUGGGGACUGAUCUUGGGGUCAUCUAACUGCGUGGGUGCGGUAGACGUGCAAAUAGAGGACUUUGACUUUCUGAGCCUCGGCUUUCCUCGUCUGCGUAAAGGGAGCGGUAGCAGCCCACGCCAGCAUUACUGGGAGGAUUCAGCGAGUUAAUGUUUGCAGAAGUCCUUUGGAGACGGUGGUGGCCCCAUGGGUUUGCUUUUCCCCUACUCCGGACCCCUUCCCCACUCCUUAUUGUCAAGGUGGCGCCCAGAAGCGUCUGCUUUCUGCAGUGCUUAUGUGACGAAUCUGUUGGAUGGCGUUGGGUUAAGAGUGGUCCUCUGGGACCCAGAAUAGCUAACAGUGGCCACCCGUGAAGUGUCCCAGCCACCGGGGACUUCCCAUGCAGUCACCUCACCCUCACCUUACUCCCCAAGAGGUGGAUGGAUGCGACGGCCUGGAGAUGCCGAGGGCUGUCCUGCCAGCUCGUGGGGAGACCCCGUCCACCAGCAGCGUGGAAGCAGCAGGGAAAGGAGAUGGAGAAUCCAGAGAGAUUUCUUCACCUACAGGACCCAGCUGGGCAUGUCUCUGGACUUCUCAGGGGCAGCCUGUGCAAAGCACCCCCACGGGCAGGAAAGCAGAGACGCCAUUGCUGAGUCCUUCGCUGGCGUGAAAAGGAACAGUGGGCUGUGCAGACGAAAGGCCUUUGGGAGGCAAACAUCCUGGGUUCUAGCCUCAGGUUUACCACCUACCACGAGCGUGAGUUUGGGCAGAGGCUACUGCUCCUUCCUUGGCUCCAGGGUCCAACCCUGUGGGCUUUGGGGGAGGGGAACAGAGCUAACGUGUGUGAGACACUCAGCCCCACAGUCCCUGGCGCCUGGCCGGGCACCGCAGGUGACUGAGGCACAGGGGCCAAAGGUCUGGUCUCCUUGUCGCUGAUGAGACCACAGAGAGGUCCAGAGAGGCGAAGUCCCAGGGUGGCUUCCACUAACUGGCAGAGCCAGACAUUGACCCUGACCCGCCUUCCUGAAACUCAGCAUCAGGUAACGAAAUGGCAACCCAGAAGGGUUCUCCGACUUAAAGCUUCUUUAAAAAGCGGAGACUGACUUACAAGACUCAUGCAUAUUCACCAAAGAUAAUUGAGAAGACGCAGUUUUGCCAAAAGAAGAAAAUACAACUCACCACCCGGAGAUAGCCACGCCUGACGUGCCACGGCGUGUAUUUUAAGACGUUGGGGAGAUUUUUAGGAACCUAAAACUGAGAACCCAGUACCGCUGAGGGUUGAAACAGGGUUCUCAACCUCAGCACUGUUGACGUUCUCAGCUGGAUGGUUCCUCGUGGGGGUGGGGGGCAGUGUGUGUCCUGCCCACUGGGGCGUUCAGCUGCUUCGCUGAGUCCAGAGAAGCGAAGAUGUCUUUAGAUGAGGCCAAGAGUCCCCUGGGAGCCCCGAUAGGCCCCUUUGAGGAUUGCUGGGUUUAGGGGUAGGGAUUCUAGGUCAGCCACACCUGGAUUUUGGUCCCAUCUCAGGAGUCGACGCAGACAAGUUGGUCAAAGACUCUGAGCCCCGCUCUCCUCGUCUGUGAAAUAGGCACAUUAUAUGCCCUCCUGGGGGGAUUGUGAGGCUUCACGGCAACGGCACCCGGGACACAGCGUUCGCUACAAGGGAGCGGCCGUCCGCAUCAGCACCCUUGAGGUGGCUGGCUUCUCCCACGAGGCCCGACUUCACAAAACCCCAGACAAAUCAAUGAUAAAAUACUCACCUGCGUUAGGAAAUCCCUUUACUCCUGGCGACAGGCACCUCUUGUAUUAGGCUGAUGGUAGGCGUUAUGACUCAGAGUAUGGCUCUAGGGCCAGCUGGCCUAUUUCUGCUUCCUGUGUCUGUCCCCAAACGCUGGUGAAAACUCUGGCAAGGGACUGAACGUUUCCGUGCCUCAGUUUCCUCCCCUGUACAGCAAAGGCAAUGGUGGUUCCUAUCUCAUGGGGUCAUGAGGAAUCGAUGAGUCCACCCAGUAAGCGGCUGCAUUAACAAGUAUGAUAUUACACACGCCUGGUCCCGGCGACGUGAUGGGGGAGGGAAGGGGCACGUUGGGAGGAAACACCAGUGGGGGAGCACCUCUGGGCCGAGCAAACGACUGCGUGUGGCUGUCUCCACCUCUGCUGCUCUCUGGACCCUCGGCAUCACUGUCCCUGUGCCUGCAGGCUUGUGAAUGACAACCACCUAUCCCUGAGGUCUGGGACACUGGAGUCCACAC